UACAGAGGGGGCAAGCGUUGUUCGGAAUUACUGGGCGUAAAGGGCACGUAGGCGGCCUUCUAAGUCGAACGUGAAAUCCCCGGGCUCAACCCGGGAACUGCGUCCGAGACUGAAAGGCUUGAAUCCGGGAGAGGGAUGUGGAAUUCCAGGUGUAGCGGUGAAAUGCGUAGAUAUCUGGAGGAACAUCGGUGGCGAAGGCGGCCCCCUGGACUGAUACUGACGCUGAGGUGCGAAAGCGUGGGGAGCAAACAGG
rnacentral:rRNA from 1 species